rnacentral:rRNA from 1 species
ACGACUCUCGGCAACGGAUAUCUCGGCUCUCGCAUCGAUGAAGAACGCAGCAAAAUGCGAUACUUGGUGUGAAUUGCAGAAUCCCGUGAACCAUCGAGUCUUUGAACGCAAGUUGCGCCCGAGGCCAUUAGGCCGAGGGCACGUCUGCCUGGGCGUCACG